GCAAGAUUCUGUACAGUAGAAGACUCUAUUCUCUUUCUCUUUUGUCUACAAUCUAGAUUGACCAGAAGGCUGAAUCGCAGGUUUUUGGCUCAAUAAUACAUACUAAAGCCUUUAGUAUUUCAAAUUUGGGAAUGGAGGGCAAGUACUCGGUGGAGGUGUUGAAGCACUUGGAGAAGCAAAGUGAAAUCCUGAUGGAAGCUUACAGAUCAAAGUCACAUGAGUUGCAUAGACUCCAGGUAGAAGAAGAAAUGCUGACGCACAAAUUUUAUGAAGUUACAUAUGGUCAAGGCCUAAAUCAAAAGAGAAAUUCUGAAGAGGUCUGCUGCUGAUGUUGCGGAGGCAGAGUCCGAUACAGUUAGCAAGCAAAGUUGAUGUAUAUGUGAAAUAUUCAACGUCUUUAGGUUUCUUGGUGGAAUUUCUUUCAAAGAAGUUGCAGGUACUGAUCUUAGAUUUUAGCGGACAAACUGACAUGUUAAAAAGGUAUCAAAUUUUGAAGUGGCUUAUGGGCCAAUUGUUAUGUUGUAAAGCAAAGGCUUCUAGAUUCUCAAUUUCUCGCAGUAAUUUUUGAUUUUUUUUCUCCAAGGAGUUUUGAUCUGUUCUCCAACGGACCAGUUAAUAGCUAACAGUGUGUAAAGUUGUGUGUGAAAUCCCAACAUGUAACACUUUUUCCUUCUUUAACAAGUUUGUUAUUUGCUAGCAAGGGGCUAACCUAAGCUAUAGCCUGUCCCUA